AUUAUUUUAAAAAGUAUAUACACAUAUAUAUUUAAAUCUUUCUAUACGUAUAUAUUCUCACGGGCAAUAAAUCUCUUGUAGUAAAUAGAGGUAUUCAGAAAUAGUUGAAGACUGAAUGUUAUAUAGCUUUGCUACCUUUUGUGAAUUCUAUUGCCUCUACGGAAAUAACUUUCUAUGCCAUGAAACAUCGUGACGGAAAGUCGAGCGAUACUCGAGGAAAAGAUGCCUCGAGGUGAGGAAGAUCCAAGACACGAAGUGUUCGUCCAGGUCAUCGAAAAGAUAUUAAUUCAACAGAGAAAGAAAAUUGAGAGAGUAAAGUUUGACUUUUACCUGACAGCGAUUGGAACUAGGUAUGUUCGCCUCUGCAAACUCAUCCUUUACUCUCAUCUCGAAUUUUACUCUCUUUUACUUGUGAAGGAUCGAGUCAGGAGCCAGGCGUAACGGAAGCUAAGAGCAAGCUCGUUAAGGAAAGGGAAUCAAGAGAGAUCAAUCGAGUGAUUAAAAGAGCGACGACAGUAAAUCUUUUAUCCUUUCGUUUUAUUUUUAUUUUAUUUAUCAUUGCAACUGCAAUUUCAUUUUAUUAACUUUCAAUGACUUUUUUUUAUAAUUGACAAAAAUCAUAAAUAAAAUUUUUAUUCAAUUUCCUUCAACUAUAUUUAUUAUAUUGAAUAAAUAAUAAAUAAUGUAAUGAUUAAGUCUUUUAUUCGUGACGGAAGUCUAGUGAAUUCAUUAACAAGCUAUAUAUCCAAUGAACAGAAAAGA